UACGUAGGGUGCGAGCGUUGUCCGGAAUUAUUGGGCGUAAAGAGCUUGUAGGCGGUCUGUCGCGUCUGCUGUGAAAAUCCGGGGCUAACCCCGGACUUGCAGUGGGUACGGGCAGACUAGAGUGUGGUAGGGGAGACUGGAAUUCCUGGUGUAGCGGUGAAAUGCGCAGAUAUCAGGAGGAACACCGAUGGCGAAGGCAGGUCUCUGGGCCGCUACUGACGCUGAGAAGCGAAAGCAUGGGGAGCGAACAGG
rnacentral:rRNA from 1 species